rnacentral:rRNA from 1 species
AUGCCAUCAUCGCUACGAAGGCUAUUCACGACAAUCCUGGUGUUUUGCGAGCCUAGCAACGUCCGUAGCCUAUGGAACAAACACCUCGAGUCAAUGUCAGAAGACUACAACAGAAACUGCAAAUGCAAGCACACGGUCGAACAAAUGGUGCUUAGAAAUAUCAGAGACAUGUUGCACUCAAUGGGAAAAGACAUAAAAUCAUUUCCUCUUCCAGAGAUCGAGAAACAACAUGAGACGGCACACGACGUACCUAGGGAGAUCAUCGAGGAGACCUCAACCGAGGUGGACCUGGAGGACGCAUCUUUACAUAGAAACCUAAACAACGAGCAGAGAAAGGCCUAUGAUGAAAUCUUACACGCAAUUGACCGCCAAAGAGGAGGAUUAUUCUUUGUCGAUGGACCGGGAGGCACAGGAAAAACUUUUCUUUACAGGGCACUCUUGGCCACAAUACGCGGACAAGGCAAGAUUGCUGUGGCGACGACCACUUCUGGUGUUGCUGCUUCCAUAAUGCCCGGAGGGAGGACCGCACACUCCAGGUUCAAGAUUCCACUAAAAAUAGAUGAUGGAGCUAUUUGUGGAUUCACAAAACAAAGUGGGACAGCCAAGCUACUCCAAGCAGCAUCACUAAUAAUCUGGGAUGAAGCAUCUAUGACUAAGAGGCAGACAGUGGAGGCGCUAGACAAAAGCAUGCGGGACAUAAUGGACAGACUAGAUCUGCCAUUCGGUGGAAAAACAGUCGUAUUCGGAGGAGACUUUAGGAAAGUGCUCCCCGUUGUUCGGAAGGGAACAAGAGCCCAGAUAGUAGAUGCAUCACUAUGCAGGUCCAAGCUCUGGAAUUCCAUGCAAUACCUACUACGCAUUGGAAACGGAACCAAGGAGACAUGA